GACGAACGCUGGCGGCGUGCUUAACACAUGCAAGUCGAACGGGCCCGCCCCUGUUUUUGGGGGUGGGUUGAGUGGCGAACGGGUGAGUAUCACGUGAGUAACCUGCCCCCUGCUCCUGGAUAACUGCUUGAAAGGGCGGCUAAUACGGGGUGUGCCGGCUGGUCCGCGUGGGCCUGGUCGGGAUAGUUUCAUCUUCGGGUGUUUCGGUGGGGGAUGGGCUCGCGGCCUAUCAGCUUGUUGGUGGGGUGAUGGCCCACCAAGGCGGUGACGGGUAGCCGGCCUGAGAGGGUGGGCGGCCACACUGGGACUGAGACACGGCCCAGACUCCUGCGGGAGGCAGCAGUGGGGGGUAUUGCACAAUGGGCGGAAGCCUGAUGCAGCGACGUCGCGUGAGGGAUGGAGGCCUUCGGGUUGUGAACCUCUUUCUCCGGUGGGGAAGGCCCUGUCCGUUGCGGCGGGGUUGACGGUAGCCGGGUAUGAAGCGCCGGCUAACUACGUG
rnacentral:rRNA from 1 species